GGAAUAUUGGACAAUGGGCGCAAGCCUGAUCCAGCCAUGCCGCGUGCAGGAUGACGGUCCUAUGGAUUGUAAACUGCUUUUGCACAGGAAGAAACAACGCUACGUGUAGCGUCUUGACGGUACUGUGAGAAUAAGGAUCGGCUAACUCCGUGCCAGCAGCCGCGGUAAUACGGAGGAUCCAAGCGUUAUCCGGAAUCAUUGGGUUUAAAGGGUCCGUAGGCGGUCUUAUAAGUCAGUGGUGAAAUCUCCCCGCUCAACGGGGAAACGGCCAUUGAUACUGUAGGACUUGAAUUAUUAGGAAGUAACUAGAAUAUGUAGUGUAGCGGUGAAAUGCUUAGAGAUUACAUGGAAUACCAAUUGCGAAGGCAGGUUACUACUAAUGGAUUGACGCUGAUGGACGAAAGCGUGGGUAGCGAACAGGAUUAGAUACCCUGG
rnacentral:rRNA from 1 species